CUCACCAGGUCAGGACACGGUAAGGAUUGACGGACUGAAGGCUCUUUCUCGAUUCCGUGGAAAGUGGUGCAUGGCCGUUUUUGGUUGGUGGAUCGAUCCGUCUGGUUAAUUCCGUUAACGAACGAGACCUCGGCACUCCGAAUAGCGCGGCGGACGUCGCGGCCUCCGGGCCGUCUUCCGCACGAGCUUCUUAGAGGGACCGUCCCCCGCCGGGGAAGGAGGUGCGAGGCAACGACAGGUCUGUGAUGCCCUUAGAUGUUCUGGGCCGCACGCGCAUUACACUGACGCGUCCAACGGGUGACUCCCGACCCGAAGGGGCCGGGGAAUCCGCAAGGCGCGUCGUGAUGGGGAUUGAACGUUGCAAUUGUUGUUCACGAACGAGGAAUUCCUAGUAGGCGCGGGUCAUCAACCCGCGCCGAUUACGUCCCUGCCCUUUGUACACACCGCCCC
rnacentral:rRNA from 1 species